AUCUGGGUGGCUCAGUUAGUUGAGCAUCUGACUUUGGCUCAGGUCAUGAUCUUGCGUUUGUGGGUUCAAGCCCCGCCUCAGGCU
rnacentral:tRNA from 1 species